rnacentral:rRNA from 1 species
GAAUCUUCCACAAUGGGCGAAAGCCUGAUGGAGCGACACUGCGUGAGGGAUGAAGGUCUUCGGAUUGUAAACCUCUAAAACGGGGACGAUAAUGACGGUACCCGUUGAGAAGCACCGGCUAACUCCGUGCCAGCAGCCGCGGUAAUACGGAGGGUGCAAGCGUUACCCGGAAUCACUGGGCGUAAAGGGCGCGUAGGCGGUCUACUAAGUCCGAUGUUAAAGACCGGGGCUCAACCCCGGCACGGCGUUGGAUACUGGCAGGCUUGACGGCUGGAGAGGCGAGUGGAAUUACCAGUGUAGCGGUGGAAUGCGUAGAUACUGGUAGGAACACCUAUGGCGAAGGCAGCUCGCUGGACAGCACGUGACGCUGAGGCGCGAAAGUGUGGGGAGCAAACCGG